rnacentral:rRNA from 2 species
GGGGAAUAUUGCGCAAUGGGGGAAACCCUGACGCAGCAAUACCGCGUGAGUGAAGAAGGUUUUCGGAUCGUAAAGCUCUGUUAUUGGGGAAGAAAAAAAGACGGUACCCAAGAAGAAAGUCCCGGCUAACUACGUGCCAGCAGCCGCGGUAAUACGUAGGGGACAAGCGUUGUCCGGAUUUACUGGGCGUAAAGGGCGUGUAGCCGGGAAGGUAAGUCAGAUGUGAAAUCUGGGGGCUCAACCUCCAAACUGCAUUUGAAACUACUUUUCUUGAGUAUCGGAGAGGUAAUCGGAAUUCCUUGUGUAGCGGUGAAAUGCGUAGAUAUUAGGAGGAACACCAGUGGCGAAGGCGGCUUACUGGACUGUCACUGACACUGAUGCACGAAAGCGUGGGGAGCAAACA